AACGAACGCUGGCGGCAGGCUUAACACAUGCAAGUCGAGCGCCCCGCAAGGGGAGCGGCAGACGGGUGAGUAACGCGUGGGAAUCUACCCAUCCCUACGGAACAACCCCGGGAAACUGGAGCUAAUACCGUAUACGCCCUUUGGGGGAAAGAUUUAUCGGGGAUGGAUGAGCCCGCGUUGGAUUAGCUAGUUGGUGGGGUAAAGGCCUACCAAGGCGACGAUCCAUAGCUGGUCUGAGAGGGUGAUCAGCCACAUUGGGACUGAGACACGGCCCAAACUCCUACGGGAGGCAGCAGUGGGGAAUAUUGGACAAUGGGCGCAAGCCUGAUCCAGCCAUGCCGCGUGAGUGAUGAAGGCCCUAGGGUUGUAAAGCUCUUUCACCGAUGAAGAUAAUGACGGUAGUCGGAGAAGAAGCCCCGGCUAACUUCGUGCCAGCCGCCGCCGUAAUAC
rnacentral:rRNA from 1 species